rnacentral:rRNA from 1 species
AUUGAACGCUGGCGGCAGGCCUAACACAUGCAAGUCGAGCGGAUGAAGGGAGCUUGCUCCUGGAUUCAGCGGCGGACGGGUGAGUAAUGCCUAGGAAUCUGCCUGGUAGUGGGGGAUAACGUCCGGAAACGGGCGCUAAUACCGCAUACGUCCUGAGGGAGAAAGUGGGGGAUCUUCGGACCUCACGCUAUCAGAUGAGCCUAGGUCGGAUUAGCUAGUUGGUGGGGUAAAGGCCUACCAAGGCGACGAUCCGUAACUGGUCUGAGAGGAUGAUCAGUCACCUUGGAAGUGAGACACGGUCCAGACUCCUACGGGAGGCAGCAGUGGGGAAUAUUGGACAAUGGGGGAAAGCCUGAUCCAGCCAUGCCGCGUGUGUGAAGAAGGUCUUCGGAUUGUAAAGCACUUUAAGUUGGGAGGAAGGGCAGUAAGUUAAUACCUUGCUGUUUUGACGUUACCAACAGAAUAAGCACCGGCUAACUUCGUG